CUAAAGUUGUUGCAGUUGUGGGUGAGCAGGCUGUAGGUGGCGGCGGUGUAGCGCGGCGCGAUGUCGCGGAGGUAGUCCUCGAAGACCUCGCGGGGGAGGUGGGUGACGCCCAGGUCGACGACCCGCACGGGGCGGCCGUACUGCGUGGCCCCCGCCGGCGCCGCCUGGAUCCCGCCCCCGAAGAAGUACUCGUUGCCGUACACCACCACGCCCGUGUGCCUGCCGGGAUCAGCCGCGGACCGGGUCAAAAUCGCGUCUUUUUCGGAUCAAUCGAAUCGAUCUCAGAGGGGGAGGAAGGGAGCUGGGGGCGUACCAUAUGGCCUCGAUGGGCUUGCCGAGGAAGGAGGUGGAGAGCUGGCGCGCCAGGCCGUUGCUGAGGUCGUACACGUUGAGCACCACCUUGUGCCCCUCCUGCCAUGGACGACAAACAAGCAAGCAGCGUCAGAUCUCGAGCCAAUUCGAUCGAUUACGAGCGGCGCGGCACCUAACAACGACAGCAACAACAAAUUGGAGAAGAAGGGGAAGGGGCGAGCGCUUACCUCCGCCAUUAUCGCUUGGGAAAUCGUCGAGUCGAAUCUGGAGGAAGACGACGACGCCGCCGGAAAGGAACGUGAACAGGAACGCACGCGCGGAUCUGGGAGGAGCGGAGAAACAGAGAGCAGGGAGAGACAGAGACCGGCCGGGGGACGCGCGCGCGUAUAUAAAAA
rnacentral:lncRNA from 1 species